CAACAGUGAAGGAAUGGCGAUAUAUUUCCAAGUGAGGGUGGCACCUUCCAAGACUCCUUCAUCUUGCAGCAAUCUUCCUCAGAUCUUCUCUUCAACCUCAAAAAUGACCACACAACAUCAGAAGUCUGAUUGGUUGUCAACUUCUUUACUCUCCAGAGGGAGUCUCACUCGUUGUGGUCUGCUAUCUUCUCCAGACAGUUCUAUCAACCCAGAAUGAAGUCUUGUUAACUAUUGGUGGAUUCCCUCUGAGGAAAUAAGAUCAUUCCUGAGAUUGAGGAGACUCAAACUUCAUACAGUACUCUUGGUGAGGUCCCACCAGACUUCUGUACAGUUGAAGCAAGCUUCAGAACUCCAACAUUAUUGGUGUUUGUGGAUUGCAGAGAGAUUUCAGGAAGCUGGCUGCAGUUGAUCAUCAAGGACCAGCUGUAUAUGUUUUUUAAAAUUGGAUUUGAUUUAUUGCCACAUGUACCUUGGUUUACGCGCUGUACAGUAAGCAAGGACAUACAAAUCAUAUGGUGAAAAAAACUCUUGGACAGAGGCAUGCAGGUUACAUCGCACAGGGUUUGCACUUGGCAAGAUCAACAUUAGCAAGACCAGCAUUAUUUGAGGAUAGAGAGUUCAUUCAACAGUCUAAUAACAACCUGGAAGAAAGAAACGGUUCCUGAAUCUGCUGGUGCAUGUGUUCAAUUUCUGUAUCUUUUGCCUGAUGGAAGAGGUUGGAGGAGAUCAUUACUAGGGUGAUGGGUCUUUGUUGGCUGCCUUUCUGCAGCAGUAUGCCAUAUAAAUGGAGUCAAUGGAUCGAAGGUUGGCUUCCAUGAUGAUCUGGGCUGUGAGCACAACCAUCUGUAUCAUAAUAUCAUAAAAUCAUAAUAGUAGCCACUAUUCUUCCCUUUGGAAGAAAAAAGUCAAUGUAGUUUUCAAUAUAGCUCAUAAGAUGGUCCUUUAACACAGGGGAUGACAUCCUUGCCUCUGAGUCACAAGUUCCACAUACAAGUUCCACUCCAGGACUUGACGGCCAAAGUGAUUUGGCCAAGCAGGUAAAUGCAUCCACCAGAUGCCAAAGACAGGUAACAAGCACAAAGGAAGAUUCCUGGUCAGGUAUGUGAUGGAAAACAAUGAGAAAGCCUCUACUGAUCACUAUCCAUCACUCCAUACAACAACAGGUAAAAAGUGCUGUUGUCACAGCAACAGACGCCGAGUGAUCAUUUACACACACACAGAUAAACCAGUUCACCUGAGUUAGUACAUGAAACCAUGAAAAGAGUGGAAAAAUCUGAUGUUUAUGACCCAUCAACAAAAUCGAUGUUUUCAAAAAGGAGGAAAAUGGGGACAGCAGAUAAUUGGUGUUUCAAUCUAACCUUUCAAAUCAAAAGAAAAACCAUUUGUCCCAGUACAACAUCUAAGGCCCAAAGCAUUACAAUGAACAACUAAAAAUCAUUUGGAACACUUUCAGUCUAACAACAGUAUUUGUACUUCCAGUCUGGAUGGACUUUUAAAACCCAAAUUGGCUGUGUUCCCUUCCCUUACUAACAUUAGAGAACGUCAGUUCUAAAGUGGUCUCCCACAACUCUAUUGUAUGCUUCUGAUAAGAUAUUGCUAACUAGCUCCAUAAUUAACUGAUAGGAUCAGUGUCAGCAACAAAAACCUUGGCAACGGCCCUAAAGAUAGAGGCAACAGAGAUACAUGUGGAAAAAAUGUAAGUAAAUAUGGGAACAAAGACUAAAAGCAACAAUUAACAAGGUAGCCAGCAGCUAGGUUAAGGGUGGUUAGGUGCCAGAAGAAUCUCCUUCCACUUGUGCUCAUCAUUUUUACAAUGCUGUUCAUCCAAAAUAUCUUCCAGUUCAGAGGAAGUCUCCAAACCUGAAAUAUCAAACUUGAAAAUUCACCCUGCUGAUGCUGUGUAACCUGCAGAGUGUUUCUACAAUUGAAACAUCUGCAAUACUUUGCAUUUUGAAUGUACACAAUGAGUUGGAAAAUUGGUGCCAAUCAGAUAAAACAUGGACUCAGUGUAGGGAUGUGACAAGCUGCUGGUAGGACCACUUCUGGCCAAGGGAAAUAAUUGACUGAAUUGAAAUUAGGCUCUUAUCGUCAGAUACCUGGCAGCGACAAAAAGCUCAAGAAAGUCAUUGGUGUCUUGUGACCUCAGAAUGACUUGGACUCAACGUCAGCUCAAUGUGAUGAGUUAAAUUGACAGCAAUAAAACAAUAAUUCGAAUUUUGUUCCUCAAAUAUAAAAAGACAAAUACUUUUGAUUGCACAUAUGGCAGGCCAAUUGUAUUUUGCACUGACCAAUUACCUUCAGCAAUAUCUUGAAGUUUAUCAAAUAUGUGAUCAUAGUUUUUAUUAUGUUGUGUUCCAACCUGCAAGAUAAACACAUUAGGUUAGGAAAAUGUCAGAGGUUACAUAACAAAAAAAAGCUAAGGUAUACUCACCUUGAGCCAGCUCUUUUCCAGUGUGAAGUGCUACACAGCGUGAAUACUGAACCUAAUUCUGGGGACUAGCUUGGCUAAUUAUUACCAAAAGGUCAUUCACCUUCAUUUUGAUUGCCAGUCCAUUUUGAUCAUCAGCCCAUUUUUAAGUGUAGGUGGCUGAUUUUUCUAGGUCGUGGGAAUGUUAGCAGCCUAAAUGGAAGCAGGAAAGUUUGCAUCAACAUGUAAACUAUCUCCAUAGCACUGCUGAAGGCUAGGAGGGCAGGAUUGUUUUCAUCAGGCUAAACAAGGUAUUGUCCCCGACCUCCCCAAUCUGUCAGCUCACUAUCUAACCACAAUUAUCAGACCCUGUCAGACAGAACACUGCGAAUGUUAUUUUUGCUGCAGUUAAAUAGACAUCAACUACUGAUAGUACAGAAAAUACCCAUUUGUGAGAUGGAGCAGCAAAACCUGGAACAAUUUCUUCACCUAAAAAUGCAUAUUUUGUAAGUUUUACAUUUGAUUUCAUAUUUUUUAAAAAAUAUUCCUAAUGCAAAAUGGUCCCAAAUGAGAAAAAACAUUAUGAAAAGUUAAUUGAAACUUCUAGUAAGGACAAUAAAAUACACUUUAAGAGUAGGUUGUAUGUGAAGAGUUAACAUGACUUAGAGUCAUGGAAACAUAUCCUUCGGUCCAACUCGUCUAUGCUGACCAGUUAUCUUCAACUGAUCUCGUUCCUUUUGUCAGCAUUUGGCCCAUUUUUUAUGAUGCCUCUGAUGAAAUGCCUUGGGAUAUUAAAUUUGAAAAAUAUUUUUAAUGGAAGUUAUUAUUGUUGACACCUGCUUUUGAGGCUGGCUGCUGCUCCUGAUUUUCUGUUAUGUAUGAACUUAUGAAUUAGAACCAAGAAUAGACCAUUUGGCCUGCAUUGCCAUUUAAUGGCUAAUCAUGGCUAAGUUGAUGGCAACUCAAUGCCACAUACUACAAUUAUCUAUUUCCCACUUGCAUACUAAGAACAGAUCCACCCAAUACUCGGACUCUGCUCCACAACUUUUAGAGGAACAUGGUUCCAAAGCCUCAGUGUGUGGGAGCUGCAUUGUUUGAGGAUGGAGGAAAGGCUUGAAAACCUUUACAAUUGAGGAAGCAAAGUUGAGGACCUGUUAUACAGGCAUGAGCCGAAUCAAAGUAGUUAAAAACUUAGGUGGUAUUUCAGGUUGAAUUGUGAUGAUGCAAGAUGAACAAGGGCUCACUGAAGGUGGAAUUGCACAACAAAAAUAGGAGAAAUUAUGUCAGCAUUAACAGACGAUCAUAGCUUUCAAACAUUGCAGGAAAAAGACAAAAUAUGUACAAAGAAACUGCUAUGUACAAAGAAACUGAAUUGAAAGGGAUAUUUCUUGUUAAAAAGUGAUCUCCCAAAGAAAAUUAACAAACCUCAUCUUGAUAGCACUUUACCUGAAGAAAUACUGCCAGAACAGCGAGACCAUCUGCUUUCUGUGAUGCAUUGACCAAACUUUCAUACUUGGCAGCAAAGUGAACAAUGUGCAUCUGCAGCAAUAAGAAGUACAUAAGAACUAGGAAUAGGAGUAGGCAAUUCAGCCCCACUGUAAUGAUUCUAGCUACUGGUGUGUAUUGUCUUUACUUUACAGUGAGAGUUUGAUCCAGGACAUUUCACAGAAACUUAAACUAGGAGCAGGAGUAGGCUGGUCGACCUAUUGAGCCUGCUCCACCAUUCAAUAGGAUUAUCAUCGUAGAAUCCCUACAAUGUGGAAACAGGCCA